GCGUCCUAUCAUGCAAGUCGAAACGAGGGUGCCUUGAGUAGCAAUACAAGAGUAUCCUAGUGGCGAACGGGUGAGUAACGCGUGGAUGACCUGCCCCAAAGUGUGGGAUAACAGUCCGAAAGGAUUGCUAAUACCUCAUGUGGUUAUCGGAUUUAGAAACUGAUAACUAAAGCAGCAAUGCGCUUUGGGAGGGAUCUGCGUCCCAUCAGCUAGUUGGUGAGGUAACGGCUCACCAAGGCGACGACGGGUAGGGGACCUGAGAGGGUGGCCCCCCACAAUGGAACUGAAACACGGUCCAUACACCUACGGGUGGCAGCAGUAGGGAAUAUUGCUCAAUGGGCGAAAGCCUGAAGCAGCAACGCCGCGUGUGCGAUGAAGGCCUUCGGGUCGUAAAGCACUUUUCUGAGAGAUGAGAAAGGACAGUAUCUCAGGAAUAAGUCUCGGCUAACUACGUGCCAGCAGCCGCGGUAAAACGUAGGAGGCGAGCGUUAUCCGGAUUCACUGGGCGUAAAGCGCGUGCAGGCGGCUCGGUAAGUUGGGCGUGAAAUCUCCUGGCUUAACUAGGAGAGGUCGUUCAAUACUACCGGGCUUGAGAGUGGUAGAGGAAGAUGGAAUUCCAGGUGUAGUGGUGAAAUGCGUAGAUAUCUGGAGGAACACCAGUGGCGAAAGCGAUCUUCUGGACCAUUUCUGACGCUCAGACGCGAAAGCUAGGGUAGUAAACGGGAUUAGAGACCCCGGUAAUCCUAGCCGUAAACGAUGUAAACUUGGCGUCGGUGGCUUAAACUCCAUCGGUGCCGUAGCUAACGCGAUAAGUUUACCGCCUG
rnacentral:rRNA from 1 species